GUGCCAGCAGCCGCGGUAAUACGUAGGAUCCAAGCGUUGUCCGGAUUUACUGGGUGUAAAGGGUGCGCAGGCGGACUGAUAAGUCAGAGGUGAAAUCCCAUCGCUCAACGAUGGACCUGCCUUUGAUACUGUUGGUCUUGAAUUAGGGAGAGAUUCGUGGAAUUCCGAGUGUAGCAGUGAAAUGUGUAGAUAUUCGGAAGAACACCAGUGGCGAAGGCAGCGAAUUGGCCCUAUAUUGACGCUCAGGCACGAAAGCAUGGGGAUCAAACAGGAUUAGAUACCCUGGUAGUCC
rnacentral:rRNA from 1 species